rnacentral:rRNA from 1 species
UACGUAGGUCUCAAGCGUUAUCCGGAAUUACUGGGCGUAAAGCGUCUGCAGCCGGACUUGUAAGUCUGUCUUUAAAUAUCUCGAUUCAAUCGGGAAAAAGGGAUAGAUACUGCAGGUCUAGAGGAUUUUGGAGGUUAGUGGAAUUUCCGGUGGAGCGGUGAAAUGCGUUGAUAUCGGAAGGAAUGCCAAAAGCGAAAGCAGCUAACUAUGAAAUAUCUGACGGUCAGAGACGACAGCUUGGGGAGCAAACGGG